CAUGACUCUCAAUGUGAGAGGGGAGGUAGUCUGAGUGACCCCUUGAAGUGUAGUUUCAGCAUGACUCUCAAUGUGAGAGGGGAGGUAGUCUGAGUGACCCCUUGAAGUGUAGUUUCAGCAUGACUCUCAAUGUGAGAGGGGAGGUAGUCUGAGUGACCCCUUGAAGUGUAGUUUCAGCAUGACUCUCAAUGUGAGAGGCGAGGUAGUCUGAGUGACCCCUUGAAGUGUAGUUUCAGCAUGACUCUCAAUGUGAGAGGGGAGGUAGUCUGAGUGACCCCUUGAAGUGUAGUGUCACAUCGUUCCACUUUUAACCAAUGUUUAACUGGCUUCAAAGCCAUUUUGAGAUCAUCAAACAAUGUUUGAGAGAUGAGUGAUAUUGUCGCACCUGAAUCAAUUAGAGAAUGAUAAG
ensembl:lncRNA